rnacentral:rRNA from 1 species
UACGUAGGGUGCGAGCGUUGUCCGGAAUUAUUGGGCGUAAAGAGCUCGUAGGCGGUUUGUUGCGUCGGCCGUGAAAACCUGCAGCUUAACUGUGGGCCUGCGGCCGAUACGGGCAGACUUGAGUUCGGUAGGGGAGACUGGAAUUCCUGGUGUAGCGGUGAAAUGCGCAGAUAUCAGGAGGAACACCGGUGGCGAAGGCGGGUCUCUGGGCCGAUACUGACGCUGAGGAGCGAAAGCGAGGGGAGCAAACGGG